rnacentral:rRNA from 1 species
UACGUAGGGGGCAAGCGUUAUCCGGAUUUACUGGGUGUAAAGGGAGCGUAGACGGCAUGGCAAGUCUGAAGUGAAAGCCCGGGGCUUAACCGCGGGACUGCUUUGGAAACUGUUAAGCUAGAGUGCAGGAGAGGUAAGUGGAAUUCCUAGUGUAGCGGUGAAAUGCGUAGAUAUUAGGAGGAACACCAGUGGCGAAGGCGGCUUACUGGACUGUAACUGACGUUGAGGCUCGAAAGCGUGGGGAG